GGUAUUUGUGGCACGGUUUCUGCAGAUCUGAUUGGGUAGAGCAUGUAGCUUGCAAAUCUUAGGUGGAGCAUGUGACAUGCAGAUUUGGAGUGUUCUGCAAGUGGUUGGCAGCUUUGGUGAGUAAAGCAUGUGGAGUGUAGAUCUGGUGGUUGGAGCAUGUGGUUUCUAUGUCUUGCAGGUGGAGCAUGUGAUUUGCAGAUCUGGAGUGUUGAG